rnacentral:lncRNA from 1 species
CUCCAUGAGAGUAAGAUUAAUUGUAUUCAACCCUAAAUUAUGGUUUGUGAAACUCACUAUAUGAAAUAAAAAUUCUUGGGACUAGACCUGAUAUUAUGUUGAGUUUUAAAUCAAGUAAUUAUUACUAUUAAGUCAGUAAUUCACCACUAACAGAAAAGCCACAAAUUACUGAGAAGGAAUUUGAUCCUGAGCCAUGAUAGGAGAAGAUCUUUGUCUUUGAAAAAGCCAAGAGGACAGCACAGAUAAAGAUUUUAGCAGUGAUAUCUAAAGAAUCUUGGAAUCAAAGAAGCCAAUUUUUUAAAGAAGAGUCUUAUCUCUGGAAAUCUAAAAGAAGACAUUUUUGGAGAACAAACAACCACACAGGACAUCUGAAACCUAAGAUAAAAAUUGUAGACAAUGAGGAUGGGCUACAAAAAUGCAAAAAAAAAAAGAAUUAGAAUUUAGACUUGAUGAUUUAAGUGAUGAAGACUCUCCAUCCAUGGGAUACACCCAGGUCAGCUUGAAAUUUCUCAAUGAAGUUGUUAACAUAAACAGAAAAGUCAUACCAUCUGACUAUGGCAUGUCCAGAUCUUCCAGCACUCGUUCAAAUGUUAGUACAGAUUAAAAAUUGGGUCUAUACAAAAUCCUGGCAGGCCACUCCAUGCAACAAGCAGAGGUUUAGACACUUUGAAAAUCCAUAUACACUGGGCAGAGGCUUCAAAGAGAAAUAAGAAGCUCCAGUUCUACACCACACAUGGAAGAGGAAUCUAUAAAAAAUGAAAAUAUAUGGGAGUGCUGAAAACCAGUUUUGAGCAAAAGGACUAAAGGAGACUAAUACAUUAAGCUAAGGAUGCAAGAUCCCUAAAUUGUCUGCUAGGAAGCCAAUGCCUUUUAGUCUUGGACUUUGAAAAAUAGAUACAAUUCCUAUAUCUGAGAAAGACAAGGAAAAGACUAUUUUCCACUUGCCCAGGGAUUUACAUGUUAACUAACCAAUGGAAAGGCAACUUAUAAUGAGUAAUUGACAGAUUAGCAACAUACCUGUUCACAAGGAGACCCAUAAAAUGGAGGGAAGCCUAUUAGGAGAGUUCACCAAUACCACCUAUUAUCCAUGAGAGAAUUAAUUGUACUUUCUAAUGAAUAUGUGGGAAAAAAAACUGAUGGACACACACCUAGGAAAUGUCUCAGAAAAGAGAUUGUCUACUAAUUGUACAAGGACCUUCUGAUAUCCAGGCAUCCGGGGAAGGAAACUGCAUUAUUACAGAGCAGGAGGACUAAAUUCAGAGGCAGCACCUUUUCUAACCAAAACUACUACAGAGACUCCCAUGGUAAAGGUUCAACCCACAGAAUAAGAGCAUACUGGCUUCCAGUCUGGUAUAAACACACAAGUCGAUAAUAAUCUUGAUGGUCAGUCCAUAUCAAGCCCUAGAAGAGAGAUCAAUCAGUGACAGAAGAAUGAAGCCUCUUAGAACAGUCAUUAAACUAAGUUAUUAUAGUUAAUGUAAAUUUGAACAUACAGUUAACUGGUCCCUAGGCAAUAUUAGAGAGGGCUCAUGUGAAAUGAGCAUUGAGUAUAAUUGCUAAUAAUUAUUGCUAGACAUGUGAAUUACUGCAUGUCGGUGGACCUUUGUUGUUUUUUAUUCUGUUGUUAAAUUAACUUGACUAUAUUUUGCAUGAUGUUCAUGCUCUAAUAAAGUCUAUUUAUAUUCAAAUAUAUCCUAUUGC